rnacentral:rRNA from 1 species
UACGUAGGGGGCGAGCGUUGUCCGGAUUUACUGGGCGUAAAGAGCGCGCAGGCGGUCGAUCAAGUCGAGUGUGAAAGCCCCCGGCUCAACUGGGGAGGGUCAUUCGAUACUGAUCGACUCGAAGGCAGGAGAGGGUAGUGGAAUUCCCGGUGUAGUGGUGAAAUGCGUAGAUAUCGGGAGGAACACCAGUGGCGAAGGCGACUACCUGGCCUGUUCUUGACGCUGAGGCGCGAAAGCUAGGGGAGCAAACGGG